AACGCACCUUGCGCCUCUUGGUAUUCCGAGAGGCAUGCCUGUUUGAGUGUCUUAUAAAAUCAAUCCCCAUGGGUUUCAUUACCCUGUGGUGGACUUGGACUUGGGCGCCUGCCGCCUGGCUCGCCUCAAAGACGUUAGUGGGACAAGCUGCCUACGGCUCGACGUGAUAAGUUUCGUCUGGCCUGGGUCCUUAUGUCCGCUCAUAACCCGCCCCUCGGGCAACACUUUAUGUCAGACCUCAAAUCAGGUAGGAUUACCCGCCGAACUUAA
rnacentral:misc_RNA from 1 species